rnacentral:rRNA from 1 species
GACGAACGCUGGCGGCGUGCUUAACACAUGCAAGUCGAACGGAAAGGCCCUGCUUGCAGGGUACUCGAGUGGCGAACGGGUGAGUAACACGUGGGUGAUCUGCCCUGCACUUCGGGAUAAGCCUGGGCAACUGGGUCUAAUACCGGCUAGGAGCCAUUUUUAGUGUGAUGGUUGGAAAGUUUUUUCGGUGUAGGAUGAGCUCUCGGCCUAUCAGCUUGUUGGUGGGGUAAUGGCCUACCAAGGCGGCGACGGGUAGCCGGACUGAGAGGGUGGACGGCCACACUGGGACUGAGGGAAGGCCGAGACACCGACGGGAGGCAGAAGGGGGGAAUAUUGCAGAAGGGGCGCAAGCCGGAUGAAGAGACGCCGCGUGGGGGAUGACGGCCUUCGGGUUGUAAAAUCCUUUCGCUAGGGACGAAGCUUUUUGUGACGGUACCUAGAUAAGAAGCACCGGCUAACUACGUG